UGAACGCUAGCUACAGGCUUAACACAUGCAAGUCGAGGGGCAGCAUGGUCUUAGCUUGCUAAGACUGAUGGCGACCGGCGCACGGGUGAGUAACACGUAUCCAACCUGCCGUCUACUCUUGGACAGCCUUCUGAAAGGAAGAUUAAUACAAGAUGGCAUCAUGAGUCCACAUGUUCACAUGAUUAAAGGUAUUCCGGUAGACGAUGGGGAUGCGUUCCAUUAGAUAGUAGGCGGGGUAACGGCCCACCUAGUCUUCGAUGGAUAGGGGUUCUGAGAGGAAGGUCCCCCACAUUGGAACUGAGACACGGUCCAAACUCCUACGGGAGGCAGCAGUGAGGAAUAUUGGUCAAUGGGCGAGAGCCUGAACCAGCCAAGUAGCGUGAAGGAUGACUGCCCUAUGGGUUGUAAACUUCUUUUAUAAAGGAAUAAAGUCGGGUAUGCAUACCCGUUUGCAUGUACUUUAUGAAUAAGGAUCGGCUAACUCCGUGCCAGCAGCCGCGGUAAUACGGAGGAUCCGAGCGUUAUCCGGAUUUAUUGGGUUUAAAGGGAGCGUAGAUGGAUGUUUAAGUCAGUUGUGAAAGUUUGCGGCUCAACCGUAAAAUUGCAGUUGAUACUGGAUAUCUUGAGUGCAGUUGAGGCAGGCGGAAUUCGUGGUGUAGCGGUGAAAUGCUUAGAUAUCACGAAGAACUCCGAUUGCGAAGGCAGCCUGCUAAGCUGCAACUGACAUUGAGGCUCGAAAGUGUGGGUAUCAAACAGGAUUAGAUACCCUGGUAGUCCACACGGUAAACGAUGAAUACUCGCUGUUUGCGAUAUACAGCAAGCGGCCAAGCGAAAGCGUUAAGUAUUCCACCUGGGGAGUACGCCGGCAACGGUGAAACUCAAAGGAAUUGACGGGGGCCCGCACAAGCGGAGGAACAUGUGGUUUAAUUCGAUGAUACGCGAGGAACCUUACCCGGGCUUAAAUUGCAGAUGAAUUACGGUGAAAGCCGUAAGCCGCAAGGCAUCUGUGAAGGUGCUGCAUGGUUGUCGUCAGCUCGUGCCGUGAGGUGUCGGCUUAAGUGCCAUAACGAGCGCAACCCUUGUUGUCAGUUACUAACAGGUCCUGCUGAGGACUCUGACAAGACUGCCAUCGUAAGAUGUGAGGAAGGUGGGGAUGACGUCAAAUCAGCACGGCCCUUACGUCCGGGGCUACACACGUGUUACAAUGGGGGGUACAGAGGGCCGCUACCACGCGAGUGGAUGCCAAUCCCCAAAACCUCUCUCAGUUCGGACUGGAGUCUGCAACCCGACUCCACGAAGCUGGAUUCGCUAGUAAUCGCGCAUCAGCCACGGCGCGGUGAAUACGUUCCCGGGCCUUGUACACACCGCCCGUCAAGCCAUGGGAGCCGGGGGUACCUGAAGUGCGUAACCGCGAGGAGCGCCCUAGGGUAAAACUGGUGACUGGGGCU
rnacentral:rRNA from 1 species